rnacentral:rRNA from 1 species
GAGAGACCACUCUGGAGAAGCUAGAAUUCUAAUGGCGAUCCUUGAAUCAGGACGCUUGACAGUUUCAGGCGGGCAGUUUGACUGGGGCGGUCGUCUCCUAAAAGGUAACGGAGAUGUGCAAAGGUUCCCUCAGGCUGGACGGAAAUCAGCCGCAGAGUGUAAAGGCAGAAGGGAGCUUGACUGCAAGACCUACAAGUCGAGCAGGGGCGAAAGCCGGCCUUAGUGAUCCGACGGUACCGAGUGGAAGGGCCGUCGCUCAACGGAUAAAAGUUACUCUAG